rnacentral:tRNA from 1 species
UAUGAUACUAGUAAAAUAAUUAUUACACUGCCUUGUCAAGGCAGUAUUGUAGGUUAAAGCCCUACGUAUCUUAA